rnacentral:rRNA from 1 species
UACAGAGGUCCCAAGCGUUGUUCGGAUUCAUUGGGCGUAAAGGGUGCGCAGGCGGCGAGGCAAGUCGGACGUGAAAUCUCGGGGCUUAACCCCGAAACUGCGUUCGAUACUGCCUUGCUUGAGGACUGGAGAGGAGACUGGAAUUCCUGGUGUAGCAGUGAAAUGCGUAGAUAUCAGGAGGAACGCCAAUGGCGAAGGCAAGUCUCUGGACAGUUCCUGACGCUCAUGCACGAAGGCCAGGGGAGCAAACGGG